AAUCUUAUAGGAUAUUGAAAUACCAUACACAUGUUAAUGUACCUCAUGUGUAGGUUAUAUCUGACAGCAGGUUGUUUUGAAACCUGUCCGUCGUUUUGGCGUCAAGAGGCAGCCGCAGCACAUCAAUCAAGCUGACAAUCACCAGCUGGCUAGCUCAAAGCCUAGCUUAGUUUAGCUAGUUGUCAGAUACAUAAACGAACUAUCUAGCUAGCUAUCGUACAUUAUUGAGCGGCUUGAUUAUAUUUCAAUCCUUACGAUAUAUGAAUUAUAAUGACUAGUUAGGCAUCGUUUGAAUCCUCUGAGCUGGCCUAACUCCCGGACGGAGAGAAGAUAAGAGCAUUGGGAGUCAAGGCUCAAGACUAGUUAGCUAGCCCACAUCGAAAUUGAUGACUGUUACAUGAACUGGCAAGAUGUUGGACUCAGAAGAGUGUACUUUGUCCCUGGAUAACUUGUUCUUUGAGAGGCCAGUUGUCCACAAAGUAAAGCCACUUUGUCAAGAGCAGAGUUCUUGGCAGUUGGAACCCCCUCCAUCCCUCUCCCAGAUUCCAGCCACUCAGGACAUCCAAAAAGAGGCAGAGGAUCUUUCAUCAUUCAGUAAGUUACAUUUGAGGUGAUUCAAUCUGGGCCAGAUUCCCAGAGCCAGAUUAAGCAUAGUCCUAGACUAAAAUGCAUUUACCAUAAUUUUUUUUCUUUAAGACUAGGCUUAAUCUGGGUCUGACACCGGCCCUAGGAGUCAGGAUUUUGCUUCAAGUCAUGUCAGUCACUGUCAGUCAUUACAUCAUCAUGUC
rnacentral:lncRNA from 1 species